rnacentral:rRNA from 1 species
AGUGAACGCUGGCGGUAGGCCUAACACAUGCAAGUCGAACGGCAGCACAGGAGAGCUUGCUCUCUGGGUGGCGAGUGGCGGACGGGUGAGGAAUACAUCGGAAUCUACUUUUUCGUGGGGGAUAACGUAGGGAAACUUACGCUAAUACCGCAUACGACCUACGGGUGAAAGCAGGGGAUCUUCGGACCUUGCGCGACUGAAUGAGCCGAUGCCGGAUUAGCUAGUUGGCGGGGUAAAGGCCCACCAAGGAGACGAUCCGUCGCUGGUCUGAGAGGAUGAUCAGCCACACUGGAACUGAGACACGGUCCAGACUCCUACGGGAGGCAGCAGUGGGGAAUAUUGGACAAUGGGCGCAAGCCUGAUCCAGCCAUACCGCGUGGGUGAAGAAGGCCUUCGGGUUGUAAAGCCCUUUUGUUGGGAAAGAAAUCCAGCUGGUUAAUACCCGGUUGGGAUGACGGUACCCAAAGAAUAAGCACCGGCUAACUUCGUGCCAGCCGCCGCCGUAA